rnacentral:misc_RNA from 1 species
UUAAGUUCAGCGGGUAGUCCUACCUGAUUUGAGGUCACAUUAAUGAUGAUUUGUCCAAGGACAGUUAGAAAGCUGAACUGCCCCCCUCACAUUCAAUAGCGUAGAUAGUUUUUAUCACACCAAUGAACAAGGUUGUUCUGCUAAUGCAUUUCAGGGGAGCUGAACCUUUUUAAGAUGCCAGCAAACCCCCACCCAUCCAA